GUAUGGGGAGGAUGUCAGGCAGGACCAGCAGCAGCUCCUGGAGGGGAUCUCAGAGCUGGACAUCAGGACAGGGAGAGUCCCCUCACAGCUGCUUGUACAUGGAGCCCUGGCCUUCCCUCUGGGGCUGGAUGCCUCACUCAACUGCUUCCUGGCGGCUGCUCACUAUGGCCGGGGCCGGGUGGUCCUGGCUGCCCACGAGUGCCUGCUCUGUGCUCCCAAGAUGGGGCCCUUCUUGCUCAAUGCGGUGCGCUGGCUGGCCAGAGGCCAGACAGGCAAAGUUGGGGUGAACACAAAUCUAAAAGAUCUGUGUCCUCUCCUAUCGGAGCAUGGCCUGCAAUGCAGCCUGGAGCCCCAUCUGAACAGCGACUUGUGUGUCUACUGCUGCAAGGCAUACAGUGACAAGGAGGCUAAGCAGCUGCAGGAGUUUGUGGCUGAGGGUGGGGGGCUGCUGAUUGGGGGCCAGGCCUGGUGGUGGGCCUCCCAGAACCCUGGCCACUGCCCCUUGGCUGGCUUCCCUGGUAACAUCAUCCUCAACUGCUUUGGCCUCAGCAUCCUGCCUCAGACUCUCAAAGCAGGCUGCUUCCCCGUUCCCACCCCUGAGAUGAGAAGCUACCACUUCCGCAAGGCGCUCUCUCAAUUCCAGGCUAUACUGAACCACGAGAAUGGGAACUUGGAAAAGAGCUGUCUGGCAAAGUUGAGAGUUGAUGGUGCAGCCUUCCUACAGAUUCCUGCGGAGGGGGUCCCUGCUUACAUAUCCCUGCACAGGCUCCUGAGGAAGAUGCUACGAGGGUCUGGCCUCCCAGCUGUGAGCCGGGAAAAUCCAGUUGCCAGUGACUCCUAUGAGGCUGCGGUGCUCUCCCUGGCCACUGGGCUGGCUCACUCUGGAACUGACUGCUCCCAGCUGGCCCAGGGGCUUGGCACCUGGACCUGCUCCUCCAGUUUGUACCCCUCAAAACACCCCAUCACCGUGGAGAUCAAUGGAAUCAACCCAGGCAACAAUGAUUGCUGGGUGAGUACCGGGCUCUACCUCCUGGAAGGACAAAAUGCAGAAGUCUCACUGUCUGAAGCUGCUGCCUCUGCUGGCCUGAGGGUACAGAUUGGCUGCCACACCGAUGACCUUACCAAGGCCAGGAAGCUAUCUCGAGCCCCCGUGGUGACUCACCAAUGCUGGAUGGACAGGACUGAGCGGUCAGUCUCCUGCCUCUGGGGCGGCCUCCUCUACGUCAUCGUGCCCAAGGGCAGCCAACUAGGCCCUGUGCCUGUCACUAUCAGGGGAGCUGUGCCUGCCCCAUACUACAAGCUGGGUAAGACAUCGCUGGAGGAGUGGAAGAGGCAGAUGCAGGAGAACCUGGCUCCCUGGGGAGAGCUGGCCACGGACAACAUCAUCCUGACAGUGCCAACCACAAACCUUCAGGCCCUGAAGGACCCCGAGCCUGUGCUCCGCCUCUGGGAUGAGAUGAUGCAGGCUGUGGCCAGGCUGGCGGCUGAGCCCUUCCCUUUCCGCCGUCCUGAGAGGAUUGUGGCUGAUGUGCAGAUCUCAGCUGGCUGGAUGCAUUCAGGAUACCCCAUCAUGUGCCACCUGGAGUCUGUGAAGGAGAUCAUCAAUGAGAUGGACAUGAGGAGCAGGGGUGUGUGGGGCCCCAUCCAUGAGCUGGGCCACAACCAACAGUGGCAUGGAUGGGAGUUCCCCCCACACACUACUGAGGCCACCUGUAACCUUUGGUCAGUCUACGUGCAUGAAACAGUCCUGGGGAUCCCCAGGGCUCAGGCCCAUGAGGCUCUGAGCCCUCCAGAGCGAGAGAGGAGAAUCAAGGCCCACCUGGGAAAGGGAGCCCCCCUGUGUGACUGGAAUGUAUGGACAGCCCUGGAAACAUAUCUACAGGUACUGAGCAGAAAUUCUGGGAGAAGGGGAUGACCAGACCCCUCAGUCAUGUAGCGACCUGGAUCCCAGUAGCUCUCCACCUCCUUCGCCACUCCACCAGCCUGGACCUCCACCUCCCCUGGAAAUGAGAGAGACUGGGCCGCAGGGUGGUGCUUCUUGGGUUAUACCCCUCUAAGGCAGAGAGAAUGGCACCUGUCUCACUCACCUUCUGAUUUUGCAAUGUAAGAGGAAAUGAAAAAUAUUAUGAAAAAAAUAGAAAUAUAGCAUAUUAUUCAAGGGCAGAAACUCUGUUAGACAUUCCUGCAGCUGAAUCACAGCUCUUGCCCUCAUUGGUUUUGUUCUUGGUCUCCUAAUAAGUGUUCCAUAAAUGGUCAUUGCUUUGUUUA